GAUGAAGAACGUAGCGAAAUGCGAUAAGUAAUGUGAAUUGCAGAAUUCAGUGAAUCAUCGAAUCUUUGAACGCACCUUGCGCCCUUUGGCUAUUCUGAAGGGCAUGCCUGUUUGAGUAUCGUGAACACCUCAACUCUCAUGGUCUGCCAUGAUGAGCUUGGACUUUGGGGGUCUUGCUGGCCUACUGUCAGCUCCUCUCAAAUGAAUCAGCUUACCAGUGUUUGGUGGCACCACAGGUGUGAUAACUAUCUACGCUUGUGGUUUUCUGCCAGGUAACCUCCAGUGAUGGAGGUUCGCUGGAGCUCACAAAUGUCUCUCCUCAGCGAGGACAGCUUUUUGAACGUUUGAUCUCAAAUCAGGUAGGACUACCCGCUGAACUUAAGCAUAUCAAUAGCGGAGGA
rnacentral:misc_RNA from 1 species